rnacentral:rRNA from 1 species
UACGUAGGGACCAAGCGUUGUUCGGAUUUACUGGGCGUAAAGGGCGCGUAGGCGGCUUGACAAGUCACUUGUGAAAUCUCCGGGCUUAACUCGGAAUGGCCAAGUGAAACUGUCAUGCUAGAGUGCAGAAGGGGCAAUCGGAAUUCUUGGUGUAGCGGUGAAAUGCGUAGAUAUCAAGAGGAACACCGGAGGUGAAGACGGGUUGCUGGGCUGACACUGACGCUGAGGCGCGAAAGCUAGGGUAGCAAACGGG